UACAGAGGGGGCAAGCGUUAUUCGGAUUCAUUGGGCGUAAAGGGUGCGUAGGUGGCGCCGUAAGUCAGGUGUGAAAUUUCGGAGCUUAACUCCGAAACUGCAUUUGAUACUGCGGUGCUUGAGGACUGGAGAGGAGACUGGAAUUUACGGUGUAGCAGUGAAAUGCGUAGAGAUCGUAAGGAAGACCAGUGGCGAAGGCGGGUCUCUGGACAGUUCCUGACACUGAGGCACGAAGGCCAGGGGAGCAAACGGG
rnacentral:rRNA from 1 species